GGUGGGAUAGCUGAAUCAAAUGGUGAUUCUGAGUUUUCUGAAGAAUCUCCAUACUGCUUUCCAAAGUGGUUACACCAGUUUGCAGUCUUACCAGCAAU
rnacentral:pre_miRNA from 1 species